AGUAGGUAUAUCUACAAGCACAUAGGCACUUACUAAAUAAAAAAUGUAAUGCCUGGUGUAAAACAUUUCUAAUUAUUCCAAUCAUGUUGUUCCCAUCAGCUAUUUUGUUAUUGUUUUUGCUACAUGGAUGCCAUUCGUGGUAUGAAAUAGAGAUUGAAAUAGAACGAAUUAAACUGUUAAUAUCAAACAUGACCACAGACCUAAUCUCUGAUCAAGUUAGAAAAGCAGAGCGCGUAUGGAUUUAUAGGAACGUAUUUAAUGGAUACGCAAGCUUCGCUGUAGCGGAGCGGGUCUACAUCAUACGGGCGAGGUUGGCAUCCAUGAUGCGAGCAUAUUACCGUAAUAUGAUGAAAAGUAAUAUAUAUAGGUUGGAGACGGUGUUACGAAAUGCAUUGCUUAUACAACGUCGCACUGAGAGCAUAUAUAUUUUGAAGGACGAGUUGGUAGAUCUUGAUAUAAAGCUAACUUAUGAAGCCAAUGCGCGAAACUGGACGAGGUUCGAAAAGAAUAACUGCCACGUAGCGGGGCCGCCGUGCAAUAUUGUGCCCACAAAAGACGGCUACUUUAGACGGAGCGCUAUGGACCAAGAUCUUCAAAUCAUCGAGACAAGAAGAAAAUUCAUCCGAGAAAAAUACCAAUCGAAGAAGAAUAAACCCCCGAUCGAUAUUAAUGCAGAAUUUAACCGAUCACUCAAUUUUAAAUACACGACUUCAUCUGGAUAUCGGCACACGAGUACGGAUUUCGUUAACCUCGCGCCCGAAUUAUGAUAUGAUAUGAAUGAUAUGAUCGCCCAAUUUUAAU